AAAGGGAGACCUAAUUCGGGUAUAAGACGAGAAAAUAGUAGUCGAAACCAAGAAUCAAUCCCAAAAGGUCGGAACGAGGUAUGUGGCUUUCAAACUAGGUUCUGGGUUCAUAAAAGACCUGAAUCAGGAACAAGGGCUAUUAGCUCAGGUGGUUAGAGCGCACCCCUGAUAAGGGUGAGGUCCCUGGUUCGAGUCCAGGAUGGCCCACCUGCACAGGUGGCAAAAACAAAGAAAAGAAGCGAGGAAUCAGCACCUUAUCUUACUUAUAUAGUAAGAGAGAAUGCUGGCUCUGAGUACAGAGUCCAGAGGAACCUUGAAAACUGCAUAGAGCUAGGUGAAAAAGCCAAAAAAGAAGACCGCAAG
rnacentral:tRNA from 1 species